CUCUGGGAAGCUUUUCAAGCAUUAGCCUUUUAAGCUAAAGAAGGGCCUCAACCCCCCAGUGA
rnacentral:tRNA from 1 species